rnacentral:lncRNA from 1 species
CGGCUUUCGGGCUCGGCGCAGUCUGCGGGCGGGAGGGCGCCGGCGAGGUGGCGAGGGCGGCUGGCGCGGGGGCGCGGGAGCCCCGGCUAAGCCCGGGGACGGGAGGGCGCCCCCUCCCAGCGCCCGAACCCAGGCAACUUCCCGCCGCCCGGGCAGGAGUUUCUCCGUAGCCCACGGACAUCCGGGAGGCUUGUGGAGGGCAGGCGGGUAACCCCCACUCCCACCCCACCUUUAUCCAGGGGCAGCCAGAGGAGCCAGCAGGUCGGGACUCGCUGAGGGGGCUCCACGCGGGGCCUCCCACGCACAGACAAAAAGAACAGCGUAUGACUCAGUUAAGGAGGUGGCAGUGUGGACAAAACACACAGAGAGCAAGAGGAUGAGCCUUCCACUAAAGGAAAUCAUGUGGAGUCCUCGUGAUUACCUCACUGUGUGGCAGCUGGACCCCUGGGCACAGUGGGGGCUGAGCCAAGGUCUGAGAGAGCUGGGAUAGGUAACUAACUGUGUGCUCGUCCCCAAGUGGAGCUUCCCAGGAUACCCAGAUCUCAUGCCCAAGGCCGCUGUUUGGAUUGUGCAGCCAUCACAGGAAUACUCACAGU